GGCAUGGGUUGAUGGCGCCAAUAAGAGAAGCUUCGUGACUUCUCAUCUGAACAUCGUAAGUUAAGAUCGAAGAGUCUUUCUGAAAUAAGGCAUCUCUUCAACCCAACUUUGAUGUACACAUGGCAUUUCUUAACUUAUGGGGCAUGAGAAAUAGACAAGAGGCAUGAGAUAAAUUGUAAGAGGGCGUGAGAUAUUUUGGAUUGCACCUUUACGUGCA
rnacentral:lncRNA from 1 species